rnacentral:hammerhead_ribozyme from 1 species
UUCCAGCUGGUGAGUCUCAAAUAGGACGAAACGCGCGUCCUGGAU